CAGUUAUUGUGCCUGAGGAACAUCUCCAGGUAAUUCACCCUGCUUUUAGCAAUGUUUUUUACUCUGUAGUCUAACCAUGGGAGCAUAUUUGAAUCUUUUCAGUGGGAAAUUUUUAUAGAUUCAAAUAUAGAGCUUUAGUAAGUUUAUUUUUCUACCAAAAGUAUAAUAGUUAGAUAUGCUGAUUCUGUUUUUUCAUUGCUUUUCAAGUGCAUUUAAUGACAUUUACUUUCAUUUGUUUUCUUCCCCAUUUGUCUCUGAAGUGCUGAAUCAGUUUAGCUUAGAACUUUAUCCUUAUUUUCCAGAACACCUUUGAGCACUUAUAUACUUACCUCAGUUUUUUUUUAUUGUACUGAACAUUGAACCCAAGGGUGCUCAACCACUAGCCAGUUGCUUAUUGCCUUGCUAAGUUGCUGAGGCUGGCUUUGAAUUCACAAUCCUCCUGCCUCAGCCUCCUCAGUCACUGGGAUUACAGGUGUGCGCCCCCGCGUCUGGCUUACCUUGGUUUUUUUAAAAGGGCAAUUUGAUAUCCCUUAAGAUAUGCUUCAACCCAACUUACGCAUUUAUUCCAAAAGUACUAAUAACUAUGUGGGCACAAUGGCACAUACCUGUAGUCCCAGCUGAGGCAGGAGGAUUGCUUGAGAUUAUGAAUUUGAGACCAGCUGGAGCAACACAGUGAGACACUGUCUCAAGGGGAAAAAAAAAAAAAAAGUAUUAACUAUCUUCUGUGUGUUCAAGGGUGUUCUUUGUAAAACUAUAAGUAUACAUAUGUAGGCUAUUAAAUUAUGUUAUAACCAUUUAAUGGGAUACUAUGCAGUUGUUUUAGAACAAAGUAGAUCUCAAUGUACUAACUUGAAAAGAUAUUUAAGCUCUUAAAUGAAAAAAAAUUAUCAAUGUGUUUUAUUGAAAAGUACAGAUAUACAUAAGUUAAAAAUUAUGAAAUAGUCUAGAGGAAUGUGUAUGUUAAAAAAUCUGUACAAAAAUCAAAAUGUUAGUGGUUUCCUUUAAGAACUAAUGGUAACUACACAGCUUUAGUAACAAAAACUACAUGGUACAGCAUAAAAACAGACAUGAAGACCAGUAGAAGAGACAACCCACAGGCAACCCACACAGAAGCAGCCACAGUCAUCUCAUCUUUGACAAAGAUGCCAAAAACAUAAGGUAGAGAAAAGAUAGCCUUUUUAAACAAAUUGUGCCAGGAGAACUGAGUAGCCAUUUAUAGAAUGAAAUUAGACCCCUAUCUCUUACCCUGCUCAAAAUGGAUGAAAGACCUAGGAAUUAGACCAGAUAACUUAGAAAAACAGGGUCAACACUCCAACAAAUAGGCACAAGCACUGAUUUUCUUAAUAAGAUUUCUGAAUCACAAGAAUUAAAACAAAAAGGCCGGGUGCAGAGGCACAUGCCUAUGUAGUCCCAGCGGCUUGGUAGGCUGAGACAGGAGAAUUGCAAGUUCAAAGGCAGCCUCAGCAACAGGCAAGGCACUCAGCAACUCAGUGAGACCUUGUCUCUAAAUAAAAAAAUACAAAAUAGACCUGGACAUGUGGCUCAGUAGUCAAGUGCCCCUGAGUUCAAUCCCUGGUAUAAAAAAAUACAAAAAGAAUUAAAAUAAAGAAUAAGUGGAAUGGCAUCAAAUUUAAAAAUUUCUGCACAUCAAAGGAAACAAUUAAGAGCCUACAGAAUGGGAGUUUGCUAGUUACUCUCUGAACAGAGGAUAUCCCAGAGUAUAUGAAGAAUUCAAAAAACUUAAAAUACCAAGAGCACAAAUAACUUAGUCAAUAAGUGGGCAAAAGAACAAAACAGACAUUCUCAAAAGAAGUAAGCCAGGGACUGGGGUUGUGGCUCAGUGGUAGAGCGCUUGCCUGGCAUGUGUGAGGCCCUGGGUUCAAUCCUUAGCACCACAUAUAAAUAAAGAAAUAAAGUAAAAAAUGGCAACUAAAAAAAAUAUAUUAAAAAAAAAGAAGUAAGCCAAAUGGCCAAAAUAUAUGAAAAAUGUUCGACAUUUUUAGCAUUCAGGGAAAUAAAAAUCAAAACUACACUGAAAUUUCAUCCCAUCCCAAUUAGAAUGGCAACCCUCAAGAAUGUAAAUAACGAAAAACACUGGAGAGGAUGUGGGAAGAAAGGAACACAUAAAUUGUUGGUGAGACGGUAAAUUAGUAUGACCAUUGUGGAAAUCAGUAGAGCAAUUUCUCAGGAGACUAGGUAAGGAACCAAUAUAUGACCCAGCUAUUCAAGACUUAUCCAAAAGAACUGGAAUCAGUAUACCAUAACAAUACAUAAUGUGUAUAGCAGUGUAAUUCACAAGAGCCUAGUUAGGGAACUAGCAUAGAUGUCAUCAACACAUGAACAGUUAAAGAAAAUGUAUCUAUUCACAAUGGAGUUCUAUUCAGCCUUAAAAAAGAAUAAAAUUGUGUCUUUUGGUGAUAAAUCAAUAGAUCUGGGGAAUAUCACACUAAAUAAAUUUGUAUAAGCCAGACUCAGAAAGCCAAGAGUCAAAUGUUUUAUAAGCUGAAGCUACAGAGAAAUAAAGGGAAUCUCGUGAAAAUAGAAGGGAUAUCAGUAGUGUAGAGCUAUAGGGGAUCUGAGGGGAAGGGAAAAGAGGAAGAACUGGCAAAUUAGGCUAUAUGCAUGUAUGAAUAUGUCACAGUAAAUCCCAUUUUAUGUAUAAUUGUAAUACACCAAUGAAAAAAGUAUGUGUAUUUGUUUAUAUUGUAAAUAAAUAGAAGGUAGACCAUAUAUUUUAGAUUAGAUUCCUUUGGAAUUUUUUCUUAAGGUAUUUGAAGCUAAGUGAAGGCACCUGUACAAUUGUACAGGUUGGCAUCUACAAUUUGCUUACUCAGUUUUACUUAACUGUUUCAAAUUUCUUGAGUGCACAAGGAGCUUUAGGGACAUGUUUAAAAUUUUAAACAGAUUGUCUAUUGUAUCCCUAUCUCUUUUGCCAAGGCAUUUCCUAGAUAUUUUAAGACUGAUUUCAUUAUCUUUUUUUUCUAAGAGUUUGUUCAUUGCUUUUAAUUUUCUUGGUUCUUCCAAGUUCUAUUUCCUACUUCUUGAAAGUUCUGAUUUUGUUUAAUUAAGUAGAUAUUCAUGAGAAAGAAGCUUAAAAAUGUAAACUUUUUGUAAUACCAGCUACUAAUAGGUUAAAAUAAUUGAAUUUUAAAAUUAUAAAGAUAUGUUAUUGAAGCAAGGGUAAAUAACAUAUACUUUCUAUUAAGUGAAAUGGGAGUGCCUGGGUCUUUUGUUUUUUUGUUUUUUCUUCUUUCUGUAAGCAUAGCUUAACCUAAAAAAAUUACUGAUUUUUUUCUAAUUGUAAUUUGAAGAGUCAAAGUAAGAUUUGCCUAGAAAAUACUAGAAACAAGUCUCUUACUACUGAGAGGGGUGAAAAAAGAAAACUAGAAACAAGGGUAAUAAUCAUGGAUGACUUUAAUAUUUUCUUUAUAUGGUUUUAUAUUAUCAAAUUUUUUAAAUAAGAUACAUGGAUUUCUUUACAAUAGGAAAUAUAUUUCCAUUAACUAAAAAGUUUUUUAUUAAUUAAUUUUGAAAUAACUAUAGCCUCAAAGAAAGUUGUAAAAAUUGUGUAUAGGACAUUGUUCAGUGGUAGAGCAUUUAGCAUGAUGAGACUGUGGGUUCAAUCCCUCCCCCUCCAAAAAAAGUAUAUGGAAGUUUCAUCACUAAGUUUUAGGGUUUUGAAACCUUUUUAAUUUCUAUCUUUUCUGCAUAUUAGUUUUUUGGCCUUUAUAAAAUAAAUCAUACCAUAUUUAGAUAUAUACUGGAUUCACUCUUAAGUUUAUCUCUUUAGCUAACCAUGUCUCUGGUCUGAUUUUUCUGUUCACCCCUACUGGUGCAGCAAUGUAGGGUUUGCCGAGGGGGUAAGUGGCCCUGUGGAGCAGUGGGUAUGCUGGAUCAAGAGGGUGUCCGAGAUGCAGACUUUGUCCUUUAUGUUGGUGCUCUGGCCACUGAGAGAUGCCGCCAUGAAAACAUUAUCUCUUAUGCAGCCUAUUGUCAGCAGGAAGCAAAAAUGGACAGGUAAAGGUUUCUUUGAGAUUUAUUUUAUAAGAUCUAAUCAG
rnacentral:lncRNA from 1 species